UUCAUCGUCUUUGUUGUAACUACUCCGACGAGGUUGAAGGGCCAUCUCACAUUUUGGGCUGGUAAGAUCGACUUCUUCUAAGCAUUUUUUAGCUUCUCUCUUUCAUUUCAUGUUCGGGUAACAACAGAACACUUCACCUGCACGUCAAUGGCAAACAGGUCAGAAAGAAAGGAAUGUGUCUACCUUCAUUUGUGAGAUGUAGCUAGUCUUCACCCAACUCCUACGUGCAUCGGGGGAAAGCCUACUUUAGGAAAUGUUCAGUCUUGCUGGACUGCAUGUUUCUUUGCAUUUAAACUUAGCGAAACGGUGUUUUUUUAAUCGUUUGAUUUUGGUUUGACAUAAAACAUAUUUUCCAGUUCAUCUUUCUUCUUUUGCUGUAACUACUCCGAGGAGGUUGAAGGGAAGAGUUUGAGAUCUUCCUUGACAACAAGGCAAAAUGUGUGCUACACAAUGGAGAAGAGGUGGAAACUUUUUUGUUUUCAAGUUAAUCCACUCGAGAUUCCAGAUGAAGAUUUUUUUCUCCAUGAGAGUGUUUGACUGGAAAGAGAGACUGUGGAGACGUGUUUGAGACGACACACAGGCUGCAUCCGAAAUUCGUGUGUGUAACCUCUUCUCCAUCUGCCACACACAUCUCUACCUAGCACAGGCUGCUCUUCAUCUGCGUCUGAUGAUGACGACCAUGCGCCAUCAAGCCGAGGAUCAACCUCAGGCCAUGUUGUGUCAUCGGCGGCUGACUUGUCUUGACUGGUCAUUACAAACCAAGUUCAUUCUAUACAGCAAGAGGAGAAAGCAAAUUGUCAUCAUAACAGCGAAGCCUCCAUAACACAAGUAAGCUAUGUCAUCCGUCAUGGAAAAGUUGGAUAAACUGAAAA